rnacentral:rRNA from 1 species
CCUACGGGAGGCAGCAGUGGGGAAUCUUGCGCAAUGGGCGAAAGCCUGACGCAGCGACGCCGCGUGUGGGAUGACGGCCUUCGGGUUGUAAACCACUGUCGGGAGGGACGAAGCUCUGACGGUACCUCCAAAGGAAGCACCGGCUAACUCUGUGCCAGCAGCCGCGGUAAUACAGAGGGUGCGAGCGUUGUCCGGAAUCACUGGGCGUAAAGGGCGCGUAGGCGGCCCGGUAUGUAGGGGGUGAAAUCUCGUGGCUCAACCGCGAGGCUGCCUCCUAAACUGUCGGGCUCGAGCACAGUAGAGGCAGGUGGAAUUCCCGGUGUAGCGGUGGAAUGCGUAGAGAUCGGGAAGAACAUCGGUGGCGAAGGCGGCCUGCUGGGCUGUUGCUGACGCUGAGGCGCGACAGCGUGGGGAGCAAACAGGAUUAGAUACCCUUGUAG